CACAUGCAAGUCGAACGAGAGGACAUGGAAAGCUUGCUUUUAUGGAAUCGAGUGGCAAACGGGUGAGUAACGCGUAAGCAACCUGCCCUGCAGAUGGGGACAACAGCUGGAAACGGCUGCUAAUACCGAAUACGAAGCAGCUCCCGCAUGGGGGCAGCUUGAAAGGAUGGCCUCUGAAUAUGCUAUCGCUGCAGGAGGGGCUUGCGUCUGAUUAGCUGGUUGGAGGGGUAACGGCCCACCAAGGCGACGAUCAGUAGCCGGUCUGAGAGGAUGAACGGCCACAUUGGGACUGAGACACGGCCCAGACUCCUACGGGAGGCAGCAGUGGGGAAUCUUCCGCAAUGGACGAAAGUCUGACGGAGCAACGCCGCGUGAGUGAAGACGGCCUUCGGGUUGUAAAGCUCUGUUAUACGGGACGAACGGGCAGGAUGCUAAUACCAUCCUGUUGUGACGGUACCGUAAGAGAAAGCCACGGCUAACUACGUGCC
rnacentral:rRNA from 1 species